GACGAACGCUGGCGGCGUGCUUAACACAUGCAAGUCGAACGAUGAAGCCGGAGCUUGCUCUGGUGAAUUAGUGGCGAACGGGUGAGUAACACGUGAGUAACCUGCCCUUGACUCUAGGAUAACUGCGGGAAACUGUAGCUAAUACCGGAUACGACCCUCGGAGGCAUCUCCUGGGGGUGGAAAGAAUUUCGGUCAAGGAUGGACUCGCGGCCUAUCAGCUAGUUGGUGAGGUAACGGCUCACCAAGGCGACGACGGGUAGCCGGCCUGAGAGGGUGACCGGCCACACUGGGACUGAGACACGGCCCAGACUCCUACGGGAGGCAGCAGUGGGGAAUAUUGCACAAUGGGCGCAAGCCUGAUGCAGCAACGCCGCGUGAGGGAUGACGGCCUUCGGGUUGUAAACCUCUUUUAGCAGGGAAGAAGCGAAAGUGACGGUACCUGCAGAAAAAGCACCGGCUAACUACGUGCCAGCCGCCGCAGUAA
rnacentral:rRNA from 1 species